CACAGGGGAGGAGGGCAGGCACUGGAAACUUCAGCCCAGAACACUCAACUGAAAAGCAUUCCCACAUACCUCCCUCCGCUGGGGCAAGUGGUGAGGAAGGGCACAGACAACAUGACGGAAAGAUGAAAAAUCUAAAGCAGAGGGAGGUUAAGAAGCUUGCAGCAAGCACAAGAAGAAGUCUGGAUGUUCACAGUUAGGAGUCAAAGUAUGCUCUUACCUACCACAUUAUGAAAUGAGGACGGGA